rnacentral:rRNA from 1 species
UACGAAGGGUGCAAGCGUUACUCGGAAUUACUGGGCGUAAAGCGUGCGUAGGCGGUUUGUUAAGUUCGCUGUGAAAGCCCUGGGCUCAACCUGGGAAUUGCAGUGGAUACUGGCAAGCUAGAGUGCGGUAGAGGAUGGUGGAAUUCCCGGUGUAGCGGUGAAAUGCGUAGAGCUCGGGAAGAACAUCGGUGGCGAAAGCGCUCUGCUGGACUGCAACUGACACUCAGGGACGAAAGCUAGGGGAGCGAAUGGG